AGGGUGAAAAGAACAAAGUUUUGUCCAUCUUUGUUCAUCAUAGCCUAAAGUUAGAGAAGAGAAAGGAGAGGAGAAAGCUCUUGAAUGUUCGGUCACUUGAGGAAGAAAAUUGAAGGCAGUUCGUGUGUGGAUCUCGUCAGCAUAUCGUCGCAAACAGGUGUGUAACUAACACCCUCUUUCUUAGUCUGGAUCGGCAAAAGUCGAAAAGCCGAAAUGCCGAAAACCGGUAUUUUGUAGAUUUGCGAGUGUGCGAAUGCUCGUGAGGUAAAUCGAUUAAUGUUUUUGGUAAACUGCAAAAUUUGGACUGCAAAGUGCAUGAUUUCUAUGCCCUCGAUA